GACGAACGCUGGCGGCGUGCCUAAUACAUGCAAGUCGAGCGAAGUUUUUCCGGUGCUUGCACCGGAAAAACUUAGCGGCGCACGGGCGAGUAACACGUAAAGAACCUGCCUCAUAGACUGGGACAACUAUUGGAAACGAUAGCUAAUACCGGAUAAUAGCAUUAACUGCAUGGUUGAUGUUUAAAAGUUGGUUUUGCUAACACUAUGAGAUGGCUUUGCGGUGCAUUAGCUAGUUGGUGGGGUAAAGGCCUACCAAGGCGACGAUGCAUAGCCGACCUGAGAGGGUGAUCGGCCACACUGGGACUGAGACACGGCCCAGACUCCUACGGGAGGCAGCAGUAGGGAAUCUUCCGCAAUGGGCGAAAGCCUGACGGAGCAACGCCGCGUGAGUGAAGAAGGAUUUCGGUUCGUAAAGCUCUGUUGUUAGGGAAGAAUGAUUGUGUAGUAACUAUACACAGUAGAGACGGUACCUAACCAGAAAGCCACGGCUAACUACGUG
rnacentral:rRNA from 1 species